CCCUGAUGCAGCCAUGCCGCGUGUGUGAAGAAGGCCUUCGGGUUGUAAAGCACUUUCAGUAGGGAGGAAGGUAGUGUAGUUAACACCUGCACUAUUUGACGUUACCUACAGAAGAAGCACCGGCUAACUCCGUGCCAGCAGCCGCGGUAAUACGGAGGGUGCGAGCGUUAAUCGGAAUUACUGGGCGUAAAGCGCAUGCAGGCGGCCUGUUAAGUCAGAUGUGAAAGCCCGGGGCUUAACCUCGGAAUUGCAUUUGAAACUGGCAGGCUAGAGUCUUGUAGAGGGGGUAGAAUUUCAGGUGUAGCGGUGAAAUGCGUAGAGAUCUGAAGGAAUACCGGUGGCGAAGGCGGCCCCCUCGGACAGAUACUGACACUCAGAUGCGAAAGCGUGGGGAGCAAACAGGAUUAGAUACCCUGGUAG
rnacentral:rRNA from 1 species